rnacentral:rRNA from 1 species
CCCAGACUCCUACGGGAGGCAGCAGUGGGGAAUAUUGCACAAUGGGGGAAACCCUGAUGCAGCGACGCCGCGUGAGUGAAGAAGUAUUUCGGUAUGUAAAGCUCUAUCAGCAGGGAAGAAAAUGACGGUACCUGAUUAAGAAGCCCCGGCUAACUACGUGCCAGCAGCCGCGGUAAUACGUAGGGGGCAAGCGUUAUCCGGAUUUACUGGGUGUAAAGGGAGCGUAGACGGUGAUGCAAGUCAGAAGUGAAAGCCCGGGGCUCAACUCCGGGACUGCUUUUGAAACUGUGUGACUGGAGUGCAGGAGAGGUAAGCGGAAUUCCUGGUGUAGCGGUGAAAUGCGUAGAUAUCAGGAGGAACACCAGUGGCGAAGGCGGCUUACUGGACUGUAACUGACGUUGAGGCUCGAAAGCGUGGGGAGCAAACAGGAUUAGAUACCCUGGUA